UCUGAACGAUGGGGGCAACCCUGAUCCAGCAAUGCCGCGUGAGUGAAGAAGGCCUUCGGGUUGUAAAGCUCUUUUGUCAGGGAAGAAACGGUAGCGGGCUAAUAUCCUGUGCAUAAUGACGGUACCUGAAGAAUAAGCACCGGCUAACUACGUGCCAGCAGCCGCGGUAAUACGUAGGGUGCAAGCGUUAAUCGGAAUUACUGGGCGUAAAGCGUGCGCAGGCGGUUUUGUAAGUCUGUCGUGAAAUCCCCGGGCUCAACCUGGGAAUUGCGAUGGAGACUGCAAGGCUAGAAUCUGGCAGAGGGGGGUAGAAUUCCACGUGUAGCAGUGAAAUGCGUAGAGAUGUGGAGGAACACCGAUGGCGAAGGCAGCCCCCUGGGUCAAGAUUGACGCUCAUGCACGAAAGCGUGGGGAGCAAACAGGAUUAGAUACCCUGGUAGUCCACGCCCUAAACGAUGUCAUACUAGUUGUCGGGUUUUAAUUAACUUGGUGACGCAGCUAACGCGUGAAGUAGACCGCCUGGGGAGU
rnacentral:rRNA from 1 species